GCAAGUCGAACGAGAACGGUCAUUCGGGAUGUUAGCGAAGUGGCGGACGGGUGGGUAAUGUAUAGUUAAGCUGCCCUUUAGAGGGGGAUAACAGUUGGAAACGACUGCUAAUACCCCAUACUCCUUUUACAUUAAUUGUAAUUGGGAAACGUUUUUUCGCUAAAGGAUGAGACUAUAUGGUAUCAGGUAGUUGGUGGGGUAAGAGCCCACCAAGCCAAUGACGCCUAGCUGGUCUGAGAGGAUGAUC
rnacentral:rRNA from 1 species